AUUGAACGCUGGCGGCAUGCCUUACACAUGCAAGUCGAACGGCAGCGCGGGGCAACCUGGCGGCGAGUGGCGAACGGGUGAGUAAUAUAUCGGAACAUACCCUAGAGUGGGGAUAACGUAGCGAAAGUUACGCUAAUACCGCAUACGCACUAAGGUGGAAAGUGGGGGAUUCGCAAGAACCUCAUGCUCAUGGAGUGGCCGAUAUCUGAUUAGCUAGUUGGUGAGGUAAAGGCUCACCAAGGCAACGAUCAGUAGCUGGUUUGAGAGAACGACCAGCCACACUGGAACUGAGACACGGUCCAGACUCCUACGGGAGGCAGCAGUGGGGAAUUUUGGACAAUGGGCGAAAGCCUGAUGCAGCGACGCCGCGUGGAGGAUGAAGGAUUUCGGUCUGUAAACUCCUGUCAGUAGGGAAGAGAAUGGACGGUACCUACUGAGGAAGCUUCGGCUAACUACGUGCCAGCAGCCGCGGUAAU
rnacentral:rRNA from 1 species